UACGGAGGGUGCGAGCGUUGUCCGGAAUCACUGGGCGUAAAGGGCGCGUAGGCGGCGCGAGCAGUCGGCGGUGAAAGCCCGGAGCUCAACUCCGGGUCGGCCGUCGAUACUCUCGUGCUUGAGCACUGUAGAGGCAGGUGGAAUUCCGGGUGUAGCGGUGGAAUGCGUAGAGAUCCGGAAGAACACCAGUGGCGAAGGCGGCUAUCUGGACGGUUUCUGACACUAAGACUCGAAAGCGUGGGGAGCAAACAGG
rnacentral:rRNA from 1 species